rnacentral:misc_RNA from 1 species
UUUCCGUAGGUGAACCUGCGGAAGGAUCAUUAACGCUCCCGCGUCCAACCUCACCGGCGGAGUCCGGGGGAGGGGCCCCGCGCCCCGACCCCGACCCUCCGGCGAGCACCCGUGACCGGUUGAAGUCCACCCCCGUGCACCUCACGACCUGCCUGAUCGACGAGGUGGCCCUCCGGGGUCCACCGCGAGACGUGAGAAAGGGACCACAACUUUUAACAACGGAUAUCUCGGUUCCC